CACCUGCGAUCACUGACUCAUGUCACAUGAAAUUUCAAGGUCCCCUCUAAGGAUCCUACUUGCGGUCCCUUGGUCCGGUGAGCGGCACUUCCUGUUGGCCCCUGCGGCCUAGCAGGCUCGAGGCUUCCUAGAAAUGACGAAGUGGGCGCGCUCCGCCCUCUCGACCGUUGUGAAAUCUUUUCGCCCUCCCGAUCCCAGGGCAGCCCAGCCAAGUCUUGCCCGUGU